ACAGACUUUACCCCCUUCCCCCAAAGAACUAUCUGAAUUGACGACAUUGCUGUCUGUAGCCAGGAACUAACUAGAGACUGCUGCUGCCAGCACCUCCCUGAGAGAAGGGGGAGAGCGUUUCCUUUCCAGAACAAUCACAACAUAGAAAGGGAAAAACAAAGCAGCAGAUGUAUUUGAGAAAUUUGAGACCCCCAACCUUGUAUAUUGUGGAGACCUUUGCUGCAGGAGACCUUUGCUCUGGCAAAUGGUUACAUUCAAAGCACCCAAGAAACUGGAUUCUACUAGAAUCAAUCAUCCGGCUGGUUAUCUACUGAAAAAGACAGUUUGGCAUCUUUGCAUAAUGUAAUAAAAACCUCAC